UGGUGCAUGGCCGUUCUUAGUUGGUGGGUUGCCUUGUCAGGUUGAUUCCGGUAACGAACGAGACCUCAGCCGCUAAAUAGUCACGGUUGGUUCGCCAGCCGGCGGACUUCUUAGAGGGACUAUUGGCGACUAGCCAAUGGAAGCAUGAGGCAAUAACAGGUCUGUGAUGCCCUUAGAUG
rnacentral:rRNA from 1 species